CUACGGGGGGCUGCAGUGGGGAAUAUUGCACAAUGGGCGCAAGCCUGAUGCAGCCAUGCCGCGUGUAUGAAGAAGGCCUUCGGGUUGUAAAGUACUUUCAGUCGUGAGGAAGGUGGUGCAGUGAAUAGCUGCAUUAUUUGACGUUAGCGACAGAAGAAGCACCGGCUAACUCCGUGCCAGCAGCCGCGGUAAUACGGAGGGUGCGAGCGUUAAUCGGAAUUACUGGGCGUAAAGCGCAUGCAGGUGGUUUGUUAAGUCAGAUGUGAAAGCCCGAGGCUCAACCUCGGAAGGUCAUUUGAAACUGGCAGGCUAGAGUACUGUAGAGGGGGGUAGAAUUUCAGGUGUAGCGGUGAAAUGCGUAGAGAUCUGAAGGAAUACCGGUGGCGAAGGCGGCCCCCUGGACAGAUACUGACACUCAGAUGCGAAAGCGUGGGGAGCAAACAGGAUUAGAUACCCUCGUAGUC
rnacentral:rRNA from 1 species